CUCAACAGCUGCCCUCAGCUGACCUGGUGAUGUCACUGGAUCUGCAGAUCAUGUGUGAACUGUAGUCACAUGAGCUGAACCUGCACGCCCCCUGAAGGGGUUGCCUUGGAAUGCUACCUGGCUGCAGGCGCAGUGUCUGGUUGUUGCAGAAGUCGGUGAAGCAGCAGCUCCUCUUGGACACAUUGUGGGAGCCAUGACAGAAGAGCUGGCCCUUCAUCUCCAACAGGGACAGGCAGGACUUGACGACCUCUUCCCGGCCAUCCACGAGCGUGACCGAGUUCCAGCAUGCCCCGCCCACCCCGGUCUCACACGUGUGGUUGGUGCACAGCUCACACAAGCAUUUCAGGCCUGGGAGGGUGGAGGGAGAACCGAACUGUCUAGGUCCACAUAAACACAGGUUACACAUACAGAAACGGGAAAUACCUUUUCUUUUAAAAGUGUCAUUGUGUAUACGUGCAGUUAGUGCAUGCUGGUUCAUUAACCCUGUACCAUCCAUCCAUCUUAGUAAGUGUGAAUCCAGCACAGUCAUGGGGAACCUGAAGCCCAGGCAGCACGGGACACAAGGCAGGGGACACCCUGGGUGGGACAUCAGUCCUCCAUAGUGCAGACACACAUCUUUGUGGGGACUCUCCAUUCAUUUCUAUGGGAAAAACCCUAAUACCAGUGAUGACGACCUUAACCCCUCCCCAACCCUAACCUUAACCAUACAUAACCAAACAAAAUACAAAACUGUUGGUAGCUUUUUGAUUGCAGACACUGUUUUUCAUAAAAUUGAGUUUCCCCUUGUGGGGACUGAAACAAAUGUUACCACAUCUAAAUAACCUGUUUUUAUCACAUUGUGGAGGCAUUUGUUCAGGUCAAUAGAGCUACAUCACCUUCCCUUCAAAGACAAACAAGCAAGUUCUCCUUAACGUUUUACGUCAAAUGACCUCCAUGACCCCCCGACCAACCCUAAUCCUGCUGGCAGACCCAUAAGUUAUUGCUUGUCUCUGUACCCCUAAUAAUGCGUUUCCCCAGACGUCCAGUCAGGAGGCCGCCGACAUAGAGCGAUGAGGUGGAGAUUAACAGCAGGUUUGGCGGCGCUCUUCAGAAGCCCUGACCACGGGGCGUAUUCGCCUGCACGACACACAGCCAGGAAUAGCUAAGAGGGUAUCACGAGGAGCUGAAACAAUCCAGCUUGCACCCCAGCCCCGUGGCCCGUGACGGACCGGCAUCCCGUCCAGGGUGCACCCCAGCCCCGUGGCCCGUGACGGACCGGCAUCCCGUCCAGGGUGCACCCCAGCCCCGUGCUGCCUGGGAUAGGCUCCAGGUGACCCUCACCAGGAUAAGCAGUUACAGGAUGGAUGAUACCACCCUGCCCCCCCCACCACAACUAACUUGGUUUAGUAAAAAGCUCUGCCUAUCUGCAAAAGGUCCCAGUGAUUGUAGAUAAAAAAAAAAAAUGCAUGCAUAUUUUUCUUAUCAGUUUAAAAAUAAAAACAUCUAGGUCGAAAGUAAAGUAUCAUUCAGGACCACAUUACCUUUUAGUAUUAGCUGUUAAGUUUAUUAUUAAAAUAAAAUAGAGUGUAACAAUAUGCAAUUGCAGUAACAAAAGAGCCAUAGACAUGAAUGAAUUUCGUGCUGACUAUCACGUGCGGCUGUCACUUGUACAGCCCAUAAUUCUCAAACCGAACAGAAACACCAGUAUGUUAUAAAGUGAAUAAAUAAAGCAGCUAAAAGUUU